GUACCUUAAUUGGCUUUUAUUGUGACUUUCUCUCUCUUGCCUCAGGCAGACACAUUUCCGCUUUCCCUCUCUGCCUCUUUCUCUUCCCUCUACCUCUUCCCCUUCCUUGCCUCUGCUUUCCCUCUCUCUUCCUCUUUCUCUUCCCUCUCUCUUCCUCUUUCUCUUCCCUCUCUCUGCGAAGAGUCACAGCAUCUUAGGAAAAUCUUCCUCUAAGCUCGGUCGCAUGGCCAAGCCCAGGAUUCUCGCUCUCUCCAGUUACCUAACUCUUCUUAAAUAUCUCUCUUUCAUCCACCAUUCAACUAUUAUUACCUAUACUCGCCGCUACUUCGAUUUGAAGAACCGCCAACUCCGUCGUCUCCGGCGAGAUCAUGCUGUUCGGCGUCAGAGUCGUGGUAGACUCCAUGAGGAAGAGUAAGUAUGAACAACCUCUCGCAGUACAAGCUCCCUCGCGACGCCGCUGGAUACGCCUCAGCCGACGACGCAGCUCCGAUCGACUCCGGCAAGAACCGCGACCGCAAGCGAGAAUGGACCUUGUAUGAGUAGGUUGCAGCAAAUUGUAAUGGAUACAGUACAGCAAAUUGCAAAAUCUUAGCCUCCUUUUGGAGAAACAUAGUAGCUGGUAUGCAAUUCGCUUGCUUAUUUGAAGUAGUUGAAAGUUAACCUUAUUGGAUUAUUCCUUGAAUCUCGCCUCUUGUCACUUGUGUUGUGGAGAUGCUGAUGAUGCACCUAAGAUGGUUGAUCACGAAUUUCUGCAGGGGAUUAUAAACUCGCUUGAGUCUUGAUGCAUUUUGUUUUAGGGUUUCCAUAAUACUUGUAUUUCAUUACUUAACUUGUAAGGUUAUCAUGCAUUUUCUUUGGUUGCUCUUUGUCUUAAGAUUAAGCCUUUUUUGGUCCUUUAUUCUCUAUUGGUGGUGGAUGGGGAAAAAAGGUUUUCUGAUCUGAUUAUGCCAUUAUUCUUUCACAAUGUAAGGUAUCAUUCAUUCAUUCUUGUUAAAAUUUUGUGGCAAGAUGUUUGAUCUUAUUUGCUUUUGUAAUUUGUGAGCCUGGAAAGUAAUAUGCUGUUGAACUUUUAUGUUGUCCAUCA